rnacentral:rRNA from 1 species
AUAGCAUAUAUUAAAGUUGCUGCGGUUAAAAAGCUCGUAGUUGGAUCUGGGUAGUCGAUGGACGGUGCGCCUCACGGCGUCUACUGCCCGUUCGGCACCACAUGCCGGCCAUGUCUUGCAUGCUCUUCACUGAGUGUGCUUGGCGACCGGAACGUUUACUUUGAAAAAAUUAGAGUGCUCAAAGCAGGCGUUAAGCCUUGCAUAAUGGUGCAUGGAAUAAUGGAAUAGGACCUCGGUUCUAUUUUGUUGGUUUUCGGAGCUCGAGGUAAUGAUUAACAGGAACAGACGGGGACAUUCGUAUUGCGGCGUUAGAGGUGAAAUUCUUGGAUCGUCGCAAGACGCACUACUG